rfam:TPA: Bos taurus chromosome 9, whole genome shotgun sequence.
UCCCUGGUGGCUCAGAGGUUAAAGCAUCUGCCUGGAAUGCGGGAGACCUGGGUUCGAUCCCUGGGUCGGGAA